rnacentral:lncRNA from 10 species
UCCCAGAAGAAGGAUGAGAGAAGUGUGGAGCAAGAUCCAGCCUGCUGAAUUGCACUGUGAAAAAGAUGAUCCCAACCACCACAGCCUCAGAAGAGACAUCUCUGCUGAUCCACAGGUUCAUAAGUAUGGACAGCAUUAUUGGCAAUGGUUGCAAUAACUACAUGAUAUACCAAAGAAUACAUGUCGGUGGUGUCAACAUAGCUUCAGUCACAGAAGCCUGUGCUACAGAAAAUGGUUGUCACUUUACUGCAAUUUUUUUAAAGAUGCCCUAGUUCUUAAACUUUAACUGUGGCUCUGACAAUUCUCAAUAUAGUUUAAUAUUAGUGAAUAAUAAAAUGACUGGCAUAUGGUGAAUAUGCCAAUAACUAAAAGUUGGUAUAAUUUUAGAACAUCAUAGUGGGUUAUAAGUAAAAUAUUGCGGCUCAUUUUACUUUUGUUAAUGAGUCAGAAAAAAUUUAUGUAUGUUCAAUGUUUUACUCGCUUGUUCUGGCAUAUUUGGGCAAACUGAAAUUUAUGUGCCACUGUGCCACUGCCAUCCUUGAGCACACCACUAGGUUUCACUGAAAAUGAAUAAUUACUGCUUCUUGGCCAGAUGGACAAUUCCAAAAUAAACAGAAGAAAUCCUAAAGCAACAUUAGCUUGGCUUCCAAUAAUGAGUUUUAGAGAAAAGAAUAAAGCUUUCUCACCUACAGUGAUUUUGAUUCAUCCUUUAAAUAGAAGAUAUUCCACAUUUUCAUUUAGCUUACUUCAGC